GUUAAUGUAGCUUAAACAAACAAAGCGAAGCACUGAAAAUGCUUAGAUGAGUUACUAAACUCCAUAAACA
rnacentral:tRNA from 1 species